AGAUGGAUUGGUGCCUUCGGGAACUCUGAGACAGGUGCUGCAUGGCUGUCGUCAGCUCGUGUUGUGAAAUGUUGGGUUAAGUCCCGCAACGAGCGCAACCCUUAUCCUUGUUUGCCAGCGAGUAAUGGCGGGAACUCCAGGGAGACUGCCGGUGAUAAACCGGAGGAAGGUGGGGACGACGUCAAGUCAUCAUGGCCCUUACGAGUAGGGCUACACACGUGCUACAAUGGCGCAUACAGAGGGC
rnacentral:rRNA from 1 species